UCCAACCCCUUUUUUCGAUGCUAGUGAGCGUUUUCGAUGGAUACGACUAAAAUAUCUCAUUUUGUGGCCACAAGAGAUGAGACAAUGUAAUUAGAACGUUUAUACACGGCGGAAAUCGAGGAUUUUUUGUWGUUUCGGUAGGAGUUUUUACCCGUCUGCGCAUUAAGAAACCAUUUCGGCGUCAAUUUAGAGUUUAAUUUAAAAAUUUGUCGCGCAUUCCCUAUGAAAUCAAUUGUAUAGUUACAAAAGUUUUUGAGAAAAGGUUCCCMCYCWYUCUUUYUUUUUUAUGCCUAAUAGUUUCUGUAUUAUGUAUUAUUUGAUAAGUUGAAAAUGCUUUCGCAAAAUGAGUUAUAUGCAAAUAGUGYGCUAAUG
rnacentral:rRNA from 1 species